rnacentral:rRNA from 1 species
ACCCCGCGUGAANGAUUAANGCCCUAUGGCUUGUAAACUUCUUUUCUCUGGGAAUAAAAACUGGGAAUUCAUCCUAGCUUGAAGGUACCAGACAAAUAAGCACCGGCUAACUCCGUGCCAGCAGCCGCGGUAGUACGGAAGGGUGCAAGCGUUAUCCGGAUUCACUGGGUUUAAAGGGUGCGUANGUGGUUUUGUAAGUCAGUGGUGAAAGUCCGGAGCUCAACUCCGGAACUGCCAUUGAUACUGCUUAACUUGAAUCAAGUAGAGGUGGAUGGAAUAAUACAUGUAGNCGGUGAAAUGUUUAGCAUAUGUAUUAGAACACCGAUUGCGAAGGCAGUUCACUAUGCUUGUAUUGACACCUGAGGCACGAAAGCGUGGGGAUCAAACAGGGAUUAGAUACCCUGGGUAGUCCAAGGGCG